GUUUGAUUAUGGCUCAGGAUGAACGCUAGCUACAGGCUUAACACAUGCAAGUCGAGGGGCAGCAUUAUCGAAGCUUGCUUUGAUAGAUGGCGACCGGCGCACGGGUGAGUAACGCGUAUCCAACCUUCCCCAUAGUAGGGCAUAGCCCGUAGAAAUGCGGAUUAAUACCCUAUGUAUUCCGAGGAUGACAUCUGAUUCGGAACAAAGGUUCACCGCUAUGGGAUGGGGGAUGCGUCUGAUUAGGUAGUAGGCGGGGUAACGGCCCACCUAGCCGACGAUCAGUAGGGGUUCUGAGAGGAAGGUCCCCCACAUUGGAACUGAGACACGGUCCAAACUCCUACGGGAGGCAGCAGUGAGGAAUAUUGGUCAAUGGGCGAGAGCCUGAACCAGCCAAGUAGCGUGCAGGAUGACGGCCCUAUGGGUUGUAAACUGCUUUUAUACAGGGAUAAAGUCGGGGACGCGUUCCCCGUUUGCAGGUACUGUAUGAAUAAGGACCGGCUAAUUCCGUGCCAGCAGCAGC
rnacentral:rRNA from 1 species